UAUUAUAAUUCCAUGCCUUGCACUUCGUCUUCGCUAAAAUCGGACAUACUGGACUCAGUGGAACUUCGCGCAGGUUCCUCGUCACGCAGCGCCUUCUCGGUAGCGUACCGUCGGACGUAUUCCGCAACCCUUUUUCUAUAAUCCUCCGGCUUAUGGAGGAACAUCGCCGCUGCAGCCCCGUUCAGCGGAUCGGCCGGGUUAGGGUAGGUCAACAGCUGGGGCAAAAACGAUUCGAAGAUGUUGAACAAAUCGUACAGGGCCGUCCAGGUCUGGUUUAUUACAUCCAGACAAACCGCGCCGGACCCCUCGUCAAUGUUGGGAUGAUAGAUCUUGUUCAUGAAGGCGAUGCUUGGCGACUUGAAGGGAUACUGUUCUGGCAGGUGAACACGAACCUUCCACACGCCACCCUCGUAUGGUGUCCCCGCUGGGCCACAAAACUUGACUUGGAAGUCGUUCAGUCCGUUGAGGAUGUUUACCUCAAACUUGCUCUCAAUCAGCUUGAUUACAUCGGUAUCGAUUCGACGUUUUCCUGUGCUUGGGGAAGACAUGUUGCUGAAAAGAUUGGUGUGAAACUUGGCAUGAAAACUAACAUUUGAUUUUGUAAGUCAACCUGCUGCAGCUAUUCCAAAUCCUUCGUUCUAUGAACGGGUUGUCUUCAAAUUUAGGUUAUGUUAGUUUGAUGCACCAAUAAAUUCCAAUCGCAGCUGUGCUGUUUCCUAUCCGGGUCGUUGAACCGUCGUCGUUGUUGCAACCACAAACCACACACAAUAGCAAUGCCUUCUACGUACAACACAACACACUCUCUUCACGAAGUGCGCAAUAGGGACGAUUAAAUGUUUGUUUCCGAACAGCAGUUUCCGUUGUUCCGUUAAAAUCACUUACCGGUCGUCAGCAAGAUGAAAACAGCUGGAAGUAAAGUUAUCCCAAUAUCAGAUAUCAAUUGCAGUUAAGAGAAGGAAUAUUAAAAAUAUAGAACAAAAGAGAAUCACUACCAAGUCGAUGCUUUUCCUAUACGGACUACACGAUGGCGAAAAGUGCUCUUCGCAAUGCGAUAUGUAGUGCAAGAUGUAUAGAAAUAUUACUACUAGGUGGGCCAAUCUGCUAAAACCACUCUGCAGCCAUCUUGAAAGUCUACUGUGUUCUGUUUACAAACAAAACACAAUACGUUUUUUAUAACCAAAUUGCCAUGUGAUACGGCCAUUUGCAUAACAGACGUCUCUUCAUUGAAAACGAAUCGGGCUUUUUCAACGCACGAAGACACAAGCACGGAUAAAAAAGCAGAUUCGCUGGAAAUUGGAGAAAUAAUCCCGGUUGAAGCAUCUUCACAUUCGUUUUUAUACCGGUCCCACAACGAGUGGUGCAUACAUUUGGAGCUUCUACAUAUCUACAAUAUCUCCGGUAACGGCUCGUGAUCUGCGUGUUUUAACGGAAUGUUUUAGAUGGACUAUUACUCCGGCACUUCCACCCUCAGUGGCCAGUGGCAUCCCAGAAAGACGGGUGUCGCGUCCCUGUACUGAGUCCAAAUCGUACGCUGAAACGCCAGAUAGUGUUGCUACCAGCUAAAGCUAAUGAUCGUUCGUUCAAUGGUGCAGCUGCUGCAGCUGCUAAUGCCGCUCCAGUUAAAGGACUGUCCAAAUAUGAGGAUGACCAGUGUAUCGUAUCAAAAAUUGACAGUCGCAGAAAUUUUGAAACGGGAACAAGGUUUGAAGAAUCUUCAGGAAGAACUUUGCAACGAAGAAACUAUUGAAGAAGUUGAAACAGUCUAAACACGUAAUGAUGAAAGAAAAUUUCAUCGUGACUUCAAAUACAAACAUGAACAACCCUCGAGCUUCGAUAACAGUCCCCUAACGAAAGGGUUACUCAGUGCGGUCGCAUUCCCAGCUCAUUCGAAAAACAUAAAGUCAGUUAAUACAAAUCCAGUCAGUUGUGGGUCGCCUAUCAAUACCGCGAAACCGCUUCAACGUUUACUUUUACAUGCGGGAGGUACCUUUUAUACCGCGACAUAUGUUACCUAUUGGAGCAAUCCGAUCAGGGUCCAAUCUAAUCAUCACACCGUCAGUGACGAUAACUCCCACGAGUGCACCUUCGAAUAGUGUAAAACUCAAAGCACUCUGAUAUCAGCUGGAGAAAACCUUGCUAUAGAUCCCACCGCUCACACCCAAAAUGCACUUCAUUCCGAAUGGAUGCUGAGGUGGCUGUUGGGAGGAUAUACAAUAAUUCCGUAGAUUAGUCAAUGAGCUAUUUUAGAAGAAAAUAAUACGACGUUCUUAUAGAAGAUUACUAUAAUGUGCUUUCCCCGGAGAUCCUUCCAGCUGUGGGGACAGAAGGUGGAUGUCGUCUUUUGCACAUCAAUUACAAUUGGUCGUUCGGAUUCUGUUUCUCCCUGCGGCACGAACACAUAUAUAUUUUGGUUCCACAACACAAGGUUCUAGAGGACAUCCGUGCAAGAACAUGCAAAGCAAGGAUUGUUAUAGUGAUACACUUUCUCAUUGGGAAGAGAAAUUCUGUGAGUGCGCGUGCGAAUGUGGUUGUAACGAACAGGAAACCGAUGAAGGGGCAUCUUUUUUACGCGAUUCUCUUGAAAUUACGCAAUAUUUUCACGCAUUUUUUUGUGAGCGUAUCAGUUGCGUCAAAAUGAAGUGAUACUGAUAGCAACUGCAUGUGUAAUUACUGGAAAGGUUUGCCGACCAACAUACCUAUUAGUAAACUUGAAGUAUGGAAAGUAUCGUGUUUGGGCAUUGUGUGCUUCGAGUUUGGCGUCGAUUUACCACCGCUCGAGCAGAAGCGGCCGAGGUCACGGUAAAACCUUCCGGAGUAAAAGGUUCAUUGCACUGAUUCACAUACGAACAAAUGUUGAUGGUUUAGAAAGGAUACCAAGAAGGAUAAGCUAUGCUCUUGUGUAACAUUGAAUAUGAUGAUGUGUAUGAACAUCCGGAUGAGGACGUUGAGGACCGGCAAAUGUUUUCCGAUACGGUCGAGAUGCGAGCGGGAAGAAAUAUUGCUGAAUUUAUUAGAAAAUUAUUUCGCUAUUUCGCAAAACCGAUGGGUCGGAAUAAGGUGAUCAAUGUAAAGUUCAGCGAGGAUGAUAGCGAAGAGAAAAAUCUAUAGACCAGAAAAAAGAGUUAGUGAAAAAAUUGUUCAUUUAAGUACGUUAAACGUUUUUAAUUCAAGCAGUAACGACACUGCUUUGCUCAUUGAUUAGUAAUUGAGCUGCUAU